AGUUCAAAGUAGAAUUUUUUUGACGCAGAGCAACAAGUGCUGGAUGUUGAGAUGGGGUUUAUCCUGGUCUGGUCCCUGACCUGUUUCUUGUUGAAUAUACACCUCUGCAAACAGGCCACAGACAGACCACAGGCCCACCUGACCAUGGAC